CCAUGUUACAUCUGUUUUCAAAUUUGUCUAGCAGGAUUUUUUAUUUUCACCAGAAAGCCCAC
ensembl:snRNA U7 U7 small nuclear RNA